AUGACCGCCGCCUCCACGGGCGGCGGCGACGGCGGAGGAGGCGGCGGGGGCGCGUCGUCCCCGGCGGCGCCGCGGGCCAUGAAGCGGGAGCUGGCCUUCGCGCUGCAGUCGUUGUCGGAGAUCACGGCGUCCCCCGGCCGCACCCGCUCCGGCCGCUCCCUUCUCGCCUGCCCCUCCCUCCCCUCCUCGCCGGCCAAGCGCCGGAAGGCCGCCGCCAGAUCCGACCCCCCGCCCACCCCGCCCCCGGAUCUGGUCUCCCCGCCCACCCCGCCCCUCGACGCCGAGGCGCCCAAGCCCGCCCCCCACCACGCCGCCCCCCUCGAUGCUGCCCUCCUGCCGCCCGAAGAUGCGGAGGUGCUGCCGCUUUUCGCUGCCACUCACCACGCCGCCGAUGGGUUACCCUUGGACCCCCUCGUAGCCAGCCAAGAUGCUCUCCCGGCGCCGCGCGAGGCAGCCACCCAAGAUGCUCCCCUGGAUGCAGAGCUGCUGCCCAAGGUCAGCCACGACGCUGCCGAGAUGCUGCCCGAGGUCAGCCACAACGCUGCCGAGGUGCUGCCCGAAGUCAGCCACGACGCUGCCGAGAUGCCGCCCUUGGCUGCUGAGGUGCUGCCCGAGGUCAGCCACAACGCUACCGAGGCGCCGCCCUUGGCUGCCGAGAUGCUGCCCAAGGUCAGCCACAACGCUCCCGAGGUGCCGCCCUUGGCUGCCGAGAUGCUGCCCGAGGUCAACCACAACGCUCCCGAGGCGCCGUCCUUGGCUGCCAAGGCGCAUGCGGUGGCCAACCAAGAUGCUGCCGCCGAGGCGUCACCAAAGGCCAGCCACUCUGACGACGUCGUCAUGGUGGACGCUGAGGCGCAGCUCAAUGCUCAAGGCGACGCAGACCUCAUGGGCCCCUGCUCAUUCCGGGCGCCAAUGGAGAAGAAGAAGGAAGAGGAACGGGAUGGGUCCAAUGCUGCCGUCCCCCCUCAGCACCAAAUGGAUGGACUCCCUGCUCCUGUAACAGAGUCUGAAUCUGCCGGCGAGGCGGCUACACAGGCCACAGGAGUCGAGCCCAGCGCUGCUGCUGCGCAUGCAAUGCCGGACGCUGAAGAGGGCGCUAGCAUGGAAUUGGAUGCACCUUCGGCUUUGCUCGAGUCCACUGCUGGAUCAAAUGAACCCAGUGUGCUGGACAAUGCGUUGGCUGAUCCUCCUGUGGCCGCCGAGGAUGCCACCAUACCUGCUUCCACUGCCGUGGACGCUGAGGAUGCCGCCACACCAGAUUCCACUGCCAAGAUCAUCAAGCCUAAAAGACGCUUCACACGGUCGCUGCUUGGACUGGACAGAGAGACCGCAGCUAGUGAAAUUAUAGGAGAUGCCUCGCUUGAUUUGUCUGCAACACCAGGGAGGAGGUUCACAAGGUCACUGCUCAAGCCAAAGGUUGAGGCGCCUCCUGCCAGCAUUCCGGUUGUGCCUGAAGAGCCCGUUGAGAGCACACCAGAGACCCCUCCAUCGGUGACCAAGAUGGAGAUGAAGAUGUCCAAGAAAGUUGCCUGCCUCUCAAAGCACCCAGGCAACACCAGAGAUUUGCUCAGCACAGGACUGCUCGAGGGAAUGCCGGUUAUGUACAUCAUCCCUAAUAGCAAGAAGCCUGUGCUGAAAGGUGUGAUUGCAGGUUGCAAUAUACGUUGCUUUUGUGCUAAGUGUGAUGGCUCCAAGGCUAUUACUACAUAUUUCUUCGAACUACAUGCUGGAAGCAGCAAAAAACACCCUGCAGAGUACAUCUACUUAGCAAAUGGUAAUAGCUUGCGGGAUGUGCUGCGUGCCUGUGAAAGUUCUCCUUUGGAUUCUCUAGAUAAAACAAUCCAGUCCUGCAUUGAUCCCAUGCUUACAAGGACCCGCACGAAUUGUCUGAACUGCAACGGUCAGCUACCUUCACAAACUGAAGAACAGUUUCUGUGCGAUCACUGUUGCCCAGAGUCAAACCAACCUCAAGAUCCUACUUCCCCGUUGGCAUGCAGCAAGAGCAGUUCCAGUCUGACUCCAAGUUCCAAGGAAUCUUUGUUGAAGAGGAUGUCGGCAAGCAAAGGCGCGAGUACUGGAAAAGUAACAACAAAGGAUACGGGGCUACACAAACUGGUAUUCAAGGUUUUGCUUGACGGUACUGAAGUAACCUACUUUGUUGAUGGGAAGAAAAUAAUCGAUGGAUACAUCAAGGAUCAAAGAAUCUACUGUAACCAUUGCAACAAAGUGGUCAGCCCCUCAGCGUUCGAAGCUCAUGCGGGUGAGGGAUCAAGACGCAAACCGUAUGACAACAUCUAUACGUCAAAUGGGGUAUCCCUGCAUGAGCUGUCGAUGAGUAUAUCAAAAGACAUGCAAUUGUCGGAACGUGAAACCGAUGAUCUGUGCAGAGAAUGUGGUCUAGGAGGGGAUAUUUUCCCUUGCAAAAUGUGUCCAAGGUCAUUUCACCCAGCUUGCGUUGGGCUGCCUGGAGUUCCCUUGGGGGAGUGGUUUUGUGAUAACUGCACCAUCCUCGUUCAGAAAGAAAAGGCUUUAGCAGCAAAUAAGAAUGCCAAGGCUGCUGGGAGGCAGGCCGGAGUCGAUUCUAUUGAGCAGAUUUUGAAGAGGGCUAUUAGAAUCGUCCCAAUCUGUGAUGACCUUGGAGGAUGCGCCUUGUGCAAGAAAAAGGAUUUUAACAAUUCAGUAUUUGAUGAGCGCACUGUGAUACUCUGCGAUCAAUGCGAGAAAGAAUACCAUGUAGGAUGUUUGAGGAGUGAAUGGCAGGUCGACCUGAAGGAAUUACCAGAAGGGGAGUGGUUCUGUUGUGAUAGUUGCUCUGAGAUACGCUCCUCUUUGGACAAGAUGAUUUCUGAAGGAGCUCAGCCUUUGUCGGAGUCAGAUCUUGAUAUCAUAAGAAAGAAACACGAGUCAAAAGGUUUGAUUAUGGAUGUCAAUACAGAGAUCAGAUGGCAAUUGGUUGCUGGUAGAAGUGCCACUGAAGCUGGCAACUCAUUGCUUUCUUCUGCUGUCCCAGUUAUUCAUCAAUCUUUUGAUCCAAUCAUCGAAGCCCAUACCGGUAGGGAUCUAAUUCCUGAGAUGGUCCACGGGAGGAGACCUAAAGAAGGAAUGCCAGGCCAAGAUUACAGUGGAAUGUACUGUGCGGUCUUAACUGUAGGUUCUACUGUCGUGUCGGCAGCACUCUUGCGUGUCAUGGGAGGUGACGUGGCCGAACUGCCACUGGUUGCUACAAGCAUGGAUCUUCAAGGACUGGGCUACUUCCAAGUGUUGUUCUCAUGCAUCGAAAGGCUGCUAGUUUCGCUGAAGGUGAAGCACUUCAUGCUUCCAGCUGCCCAUGAAGCCGAAGCCAUCUGGAUGAAGAAGUUUGGCUUCUCUAAAAUCCCUCAGGAUCAGAUGGAAGCUUAUCUUAACGGGGGACACCUCACCGUAUUCCAUGGAACCUUGAACCUGUACAAGGCCGUUCCAUUGCCUGAAUCUUAG
rnacentral:rRNA from 1 species